UUUUUUUUUUUUUUUUUUUUUUUUUUUUUAUAAAUUUGGGUGAUGGGUAGAGGAACUUGCAGGGAGCGGACGAAGAGUUGGAGUUUGAGGAAGCGCUUCUCGGCCGGCUAGUCGUUUGACAGCGGUCUUUGAAGUUGUUGGCAGCUGCGAGGCAAGAGACGGAGGAGGUGGAGGUGAUUUUGACGUCGGAUCCAGCUAGAACCCAGAGCAUAGCCACUGAGCCCAACCACCGAACACAGCCGCCGCACACCCGUUGCAUUGCUACUGAGCACAGCCAUUGCGCAUCCGUUGCACUGCCACCGAGCACCGCCACUGAUCGAGCACAGCCACAGAGCACCGCUACUGAGCACAGGCACAUAGCACAGCCCACUCAUCCCUCGGCAGAGAUCCAAAGUAAGAAGAAAUUUCCAAAAACUGAGGAAAGUUCAUGUUCCUGUCCCAGCGAUGAUCCUUGUGCCAUGGGACCUGGUCCAGGCCGUAUAGGUUAGAUGGAGAGAAGGCAGGGAGGAGCCUGGUGGAUUUCAGAGUCGAGAUCGAAUUCAGACGGAGAAUGAGAGACUGAGACGACGAGAUCGAAGUCCUGAACGAAGUUCUAAACCCUGACCCAGAACCUGCAUACCGAUGAUGAUGAACCAGAACCUAAUUCCCAAAACCAAACAACCAGAACCCACAUCCUGCAGUAGAGACCAAUGUCGAGGAGCAGUCUGGGGACGCCAUCGUCGGGGAGAGGCUGUUUAAGGCACGAAGGGAAGGUAAUUUUGCUACUGUACGAAGGAGACCGCGCGAUCUCCUUGGUGAUAUCCCUUCACCGCUUGCAGACACAGGCACAAGCGACGACGUUUUUUACGGUGAGGCCCCUUGUCCUCGCUGGCCUCCACUCUCCGUAUGAUCUCACCGAGCAGCUCCGGGAGCAUAUCCGACCACGAAGACGACAACAGCGACGAAGAUGAGUCAGCACAGUUCGAGUCACGGACGACUCGGCGGUCGCCCCCACGGGCCUGAUCCUCGUCGCUGAGCUUCAAUUCCCUGAACGAUUUGGAGAAUUUCCAGGAGCGAAAGGCUUUCCGCAGCGACAUGGGUUCAGAUUUGGGGCUUUAGGGUUCCUGAUUCUUUGGAUUGUGUGCAUCUUCCAUCCAGCAGCUGCCAACCCUCCAUGAUGAUACUCACUGAUUGUUUCAUCAACAAGUAUUACAAGAUCUCGUGUUGAACCAGACAUACGGAUGCUCUGAGCUGCAGCAAUGGCUCCACAUGGGCAGAAUGUAGGAUUGUUGCAUAUGCUUCUCUGUGGGCUCUUUCCGAGUAAAAGCUUUCUUUAGCCGUGAGAGGAGUUUGAGAGUGGAGAAAGCAUGAGAAUGGGCUGUGACCCAUGGCAGAAACUCGUUGACGCAAACACAAAACUUCACUCCAUCUUGAACUGGUGUCUUCGGAUAAAAAAAAAAUGCCCAAUUCAAACCAAAAUGCCUCCAGUCCUGCCAAUGCAAGCCUUUUGUUCCUGAGGAGUUGGCCUGCCCCAGCUUAAGAAAAUCAUGCCUUGGUUGCGGUUGCGUCCAAGUCUGAAAUAUUAGUCGAAAUCUGAGGUAGUAGAUCACAAUUUCAGGGGCGGGAGAUUUGCCGAAAGACGGUUCCAGCCAGGACAGAGGUUUGACUCAGAGCGUUCAUCUCGGAGAUUGAAUCAAGAUGGUUACUCUGAACCCGUGAUGCGUCCUGAUGGAAGAUAUGAGAUUGUUCAUCGCGUGAGGCGUUUUGAUUCAGAUGGUGGUGUGCGUCAGUACCGUUAUGAUAAAGAUUGUUUUGCAUCUCACAACACGCAGAACUACGAUGAAUCUGACCAUAAGGCGGCCGAGAGUCCGGGAGAGCGAGAUUGGGCCUGGGUCGCAUUUCUUGUUGGGUGUCUUGAGCAAUCCCCUGCUUGCAGAUCUUCGCACACAUACUGGUCCGAUUCGAGUAGGGUCUUGAUGUCCGUUUUGUCUCGGGCCUUGAGGUCCACUUGUUGGGCUUGGGCCUUUGACGCCAUAGCCCGGAUGCAGACGUAACAAAACGACGCCGCCGCCGUUGAUCUCGACGACACCGCAGAAGCUAUGGCUCUCCGUAUCAACCUCGUCGCCAUUGUUGCGUCUCUGAGCUUUGACAACAUAUGUAGCAGCAACCAUUAAAAGGCUUCUCUGCUCAUUAACCAUCUGUUUUUUAGCCCUUCUGACGACAAUACCACAACCUAAUCUCAUCGAUGGCAGAAGGCAGAAAGGAGGUAGAAGACGAAGACUCCUUCUGUUUGAAAAGUAACUCACAGUUUUGGGCCGUUGAGUGCUUGUUGGGCUCACGGUCAUCCUCAAUAAUGCAGCCCACCAUUAUAUAUAUAUUUUUUUAUAAUACAUUAAUAACAUGUUUUUUUUUUUUUUUUUUUUUUUUUUUGUACAAAGAAAUUGUAAUAGCAUCAAAACUUUUAAUUAAAUCUUUAUUCCCUAUUUUGGUGUGACUGAACUCGAAAUUGAAUGCUCGAGCUGCCUACGUACCCUUCCAAAAAAGAGAUCAAGUCGUAACGUAGUUCAAAUACAUUUUUUUUUUUGUACUUUCUUUUGGUGUCGUUUGCAGUUUCAACUCGUGCAGACAAGGAGCUUUUGGUGCCGUGUUGCAGUUUCAGCUCGUGCAGGCAAUGAGCGUUUGGUGUCGUUUGCAGUUUCAACUCGUGCAGACAAGGAGCUUUUGGUGCCGUGUUGCAGUUUCAGCUCGUGCAGGCAAGGAGCGUUUGGUGUCGUUUGCAGUUUCAACUCGUGCAGACAAGGAGCAUUUGGUGUUGCCUUUUAUGCUUGUGCAGACCAGGAGCUUCGUGCCAUGCAGUUUAGACUCGUGUAGGCGAGGAGCCUUGGUUCGUGCAGUUUAGGCUCGUGCGAACAAGGAGCAUUGGUGUUGCCUUUUAUGCUCGUGCAGACCAGGAGCUUUGUGCCAUGCAGUUUAGACUCGUGCGGGCAAGGAGAAUUUGUGAAUUUUGUCAAGCAAUCCGGGAGAGGCGUUCCUCACAAUUUUCAUAGCAAGGAGCUUUGACCGCGUGAUUGAAAAAGUCUUCGGGCAGGAAAUCGCGCAUCGUGAUGGGGAUGGACGAUCUAUGUGUCGAAAUUUCAUCAUCUUCAACAAGUUCACGUUGCUUUGAAGGUUGACAAUAGCUGCUUUGCCCCCUUUCCGAUUGGCGGACUUGUGAAGGAGACGUAUGCUUCUUGUGCAAUUUCUUAGGAGUGACUUGAGUCCAUCCUUCAACUUUGCUUGUCUUUGAGGAUGCCCCCAGCGGUUGAGGUGAAAACUUUGAGUUGGAAGAGCCAAAAGUGAAGGUGGUAUAGUUUGACUUCGCCACUUCGUCAAGAUCUAGCUCGAUGAUUCCUUUAUGAGCCAGCUUCAUGAUGAGAUCUUUCAGCACGAAACAUUUUUCUGUCGGAUGACUGAUGAAGCGGUGGAAUUUACAGUACCUUGGAUUGUCGGUGCGAUUCAUCUCUUCCGGCCGUCUGCACUCAGGCAAACUGAUCACCUUCUUGUCCAACAGGUCAUCUAGCAUGGCAACCACAUCAGAGUCGGGGAAUGGAUAAGUCUUCUCCUCAAGCUCCUUCAAAGUGCGUCUACGCGUCUCUUGAUCACGAAAAGCUUCGGUUUGAAUCGCCUUGCCUCGUGUGGAUAUUUUGACAGGAGAUGUGUUGAUCAUCAUCGCUUCCUUGGUGGGUUUCCAAGCAGCCUUCUCCACCUUUGUCUCAAGAACUUUGUCGUUCUUGUAGUCGGCGAUCGGUUCCUUCUUCCCAUGAUGGGCGAUGCUCAACUCCAUGUCAUGGGCGCGGGUGGCUAGCUCUUCGAAGGUCCGUGGUUUGAUGCCUUGAAGGAUGUAUUGCAAACCCCAUUGCAUGCCUUGGAUGCACAUCUCGAUUGAAGAGGUUUCCGAGAGCCUGUCUUUACAGUCGAGGCUUAGAGUGCGCCACCUGUUGAUGUAGUCAAUGACUGGCUCGUCCUUCCACUGCUUUGUGCUCGUUAGCUCUAGCAUGCUCACAGUGCGGCGGGUGCUGUAAAAGCGGUUGAGGAAUUCCCUUUCCAACUGUUCCCAGCUGUUGAUGGACUCAGGCUCUAGGUCCGUGUACCACUCAAAGGCGUUUCCUUUCAGCGAGCGCACAAACUGCUUGGCGAGGUAGUGUCCUUCGGUUCCUGCGUUGUUGCAAGUUUCAACGAAGUGGGCAACGUGCUGUUUUGGGUUUCCCUUUCCAUCAAAUUGCAUGAACUUUGGUGGUUGAUAACCCCUUGGCAUCCUUAGGGCAUCAAUCUUCUUGGAAUAGGGCUUCGAGUAGAACAAUGAGGUAUGUGAGCUCCCUUCGUACUGUGUCUUGAUGGUAUUGGUGAUCAUCUCCUGUAGCUGCUGGAUAGAAAGAGAUCCCAUGAGUGCCGCUGCUUGGUCUGGCUCCGGCUUCCCAUCGAUUUUCUUCACCGGGGGUUCUUCGUCUCCGCCAGCUCCUCCCUUUAGUGGAUCAUCCUCUGGGUCGGGUUUAUCGCCAUCCUGCGCUUCCAGUCGGUUGACUAGUGCUGCAAUUUGCAAGUCUUUUUCUUCCACAGUUCGGGUUAGCCUUGCGAUUGCUUCAUUCAUUUGAGCCAGCUGCUCAUCGAUUGAAGUUGCUCCAAUGGUCAUGACUUGCAUGGCUGAACUAUCGCUUGAAUCGGCAUCGGAGAGCAUGGAUUCAGAGUAUUUCCUUGGGCUUUCCCCCCUUGGUGCCCUUAGUGAGGCUAAGGUGAUCAAAGGCUCGUGCCUUGGGUGCUUUUGUUCCCUUGGCAGAGUUGAUGCAGAGGUGAAAGAGGCGGCAGAAGUAGCUCUUGCCAUGCUUCGAGUCAUGAUGCCCAAAGUGACACCAGUUGCGACGAGGACGCUUUUGUUCUUUGCGCCGGUUGCGGGAACAGUUUGAGCCUUCCUUGAUGCCAUUAAUUUUGGAAGUGCGCUUGAAUUUCUUGAACGGAGAAAGAGAUGAGAGGUAGAGAUUGUCCCACUGGUCGUGCCAAUUUGUGAACACGGAAAAUUCCUGAAACGAAAGAGACAAGAAACGACGUGCACAAACAAAUAUUUGUAUUUUUGAUUUUGGGUUACAAUCUCUCUCUAUUUUGAUCCUCUGAUUCGAUCUCCGUAAGGUGUGUAUUUGUGGAUGUGUGAUUGAUCCAAAUGGCCGUUGGGCUUGAUCUAAGGAUGAACGUUCUUCAAGGGCCGUGGACUUGAUCUUGAAGGUGGAUUUGAGCGGAUCUUCAAAGGGGCUUUUGGGCUUGAUCUUUGAAGAACAGUGAUGAACGGAUCUCCAAGGGCUUUUGGGCUUGAUCUUGAAGAACAGUGAUGAACGGAUCUUCAAGGGCUUUUGGGCUUGAUCUUGAAGAAACGGUUGGAUGUGUGGAUUUGUCGACGUUGUUGAUCCAAAGGGCCGUUGGGGCUUGAUCUUGAUUUGGUGGAUGAUUGUUGAUCCAAAUGGCCGUUGGGGCUUGAUCUUGGAUGAACUAUGAACGAGGAACGAAGAACACUUUCUUCAAGGGCCGUCGGGGCUUGAUCUUGAAUUGGUGGAUGAUUGUUGAUCCAAAGGCCGUCGGGGCUUGAUCUUGGAAGAACGAUGAACGAAGAACGAAGAAGGCUUUCUUGAUUCUUCGGGAACCUAGAUGCUUAAGAGCUUCGGAGUUUCAGAGCUUCAGAGCUUCAGAGCUUCAAGGUGUAAUAUGAAUUCGUUCCUUGUAAAUGAAUGAAAUGGGCUUGUAUUUAUAGAAUUUUCCAAGGCCUAACUUUGAAUAUAAUAUCCCAGAUGAAAUAAGUCGUUUCUGCUAGGUGUUGACACGUGUCCUGUUUGAUGACUUUUCCAACUUAUUUUGAUUUUUUGUUUAGACACACGCUACGUGUAAAAUUUAUGUAAUACAUGAGCGUUGAAACUUUGAUUUAUCGGUCAACAUUUAUUUACCGAAAUUUCGAUGUCUACAAUAGGUUGGCAGUUGAAUUUUAUAAUUAAGGAAUUAAAAAGAUCCCAACACAAAUCCGAACUCUAAAAUCCCAAAUCCCACUCCCAUCCAAACAGGUCCACAAUUCCUUCACCCAAAUGUUCAUACAUUCAUCAAAUUACUCCCACCUAAAGAUUUAGUCUCUAAUCAAAUCCUAUUAUUCAUGCUAUUGCUAUUGAUCCUCCGCAUCAACAAAAAUAAAAUUCGGAGAAGUAGACUUACAGUAGCCGGCGAAGUAACGGAUGUCGUCGAGGUCGGAGGAUGGCUGGAUGGGUGGUGGUGGUGCCGUUGUGUUGGUUGUGGCAGUGGUGAUGGGCGUUCUCUGGGAUGUCGAAGUCGAGGGAGUCAAGGGAGUGACGGAUGGUGGAGAGGUGGGAGUGAAAGAGUGAGACUGAAACUGAUUCUGGAAACCUAGUUUAGAAGGUAACAGUUCAGAUUGGAUGAUAGGUUAUCAUUCAAUCUUGACCGUUGAUUAUAAUUAAAAACGGGUCGGUCCGGGGCCCUGUUUUUCUAAGGUUUAGAAACCAACCCGCCCCGUAAAUAACAAUGGCCCGGCCUGGCCCGUCCCAUUUGUUCCAAAAAAAAAUAGGACUCGGCCUAUACCCGUCCCAAACCUACAUUACCCGUCCCGACCCGCAGUUCCUUUACCCGUUUGCCCACCCCUGGUGGCAAUGGCUUUAAACCAUUUUUAAGUGAGUGUAGUGUGUAAUAUAUACAUUAUUUUUAUUAGUGGUGCUAUUUAUGCAUUUAUUUUUAUUUCUUAUAAGUUUUUUUUUAAUUAUUAACCAUCGAAUUAAAUGAAUUAAAGAAGAUCAAUAGCGAAAAACUAACAAAGUUGUGUGGGAAGUAAAAAUGAGUGUAUGAAUAACACUUUCCUUGAUAAAACCCUAAAGACAAUUUGGUCCGCUUCACAAAAUGAAAUUAUCAGUAGCAUACAAACCAAAUUUUGCUGUUUUUUUUUUUUUUUUUUUUUUUGUAGGCUUGAUCAUCAAGUUUCUCAAUUAAUUUCAUUUGUAAUCGGUUUGUGCUUUUUUGUAGGCUGAAGCCGUAGCUGAGGAGCUAUGUGAAUCAGUGGCAGCUAGUCUUGACGGUAAAAAGUUGCCAUGGUUCACGGCAAUAUCUUCUGCUGUGCAGGCAGCAAUGGAAGAAGCACUUGUUCGUAUUUUAACUCCUACUGUGGACUCUUCUCCUAUACUGAACCCGCGGAAGAAUCUGCCCAGGAAACCAUGUGUUUUCGCUUACAUUGACACCACAGGAGAUUGGAAAGCAACCAGUUCGGUUAAGGUAAUUAAGCUGAUUAAUUUAAUUCUUGUGCUUAAGUCAAGCAGGCCUCUAAUUUUACUAAAUGGUUCUGCUUAAUCAUAUAUUGUGAUCAAUUUGCUGCAGGCUGCUUGUCGGCUCCAGAAGGAACGGAAGAACAGCGUUAUUAUGGUGGCCGACCGUGAUACAUUCCGGUCAGACACUGUUAUGCAGUUGCGUAGAGAUGCAUGGAAACUCCAGGUACUGAACUAUACAGAUAGUUUCAAUUUAUAGGAUUCACGUUCACUUAAGAAGAUUAAAUUUUACAGAUGUGAGAUAGGUCAGUUUGUCAGGUAGUGUUCCGCCCCUGCAUCUAAGUUCGAACACCCUUACUUGUAAAUUCGAGUCGAUUAUUACUUACUGUCUCAGCCUGAUAAUUAACUUCCGAUUAUUAAGAAACCAAUUUUGCUCCAUGUCAGCGGAUUCCUAUUUUCGAGAUGCGGCAUGAGAAGGAUCCCACAAUUACCAUAAAGAAAGCAGUCCAGGAGGCCAGAGACGAUGGUUCGGAUGUGGUUGCUCAUGCAGCCAGUCCAAAGCAGGUAUAUCGCUUUUCCGAGUUUCUUCUUUUGCAUUACUGAUGAACUGCUAAACGGGUCGUGUUUGUCAUGUUCGUUCAUUUUUGUGUUAAAUACGUUAUCUUAAAAGAUUCUUAACAGGCGAUCAAAUAAUGACUUGAUUUGUUAAUGUGGUUUCGUGUUAAGUUAACGAGUCAUGCAAGAAAUUGUCAUACCUAAUGUCUUAUCGGUUAUUAACUAAUAACGACAUGACUGAUUAACUAAUUAUUAAUGGGUAACUUGAUAAUGACUUAACUCGUUAACAGAUUGACCCAACACAUGUAAUUUUCGUAUUGUAUCACUUCGUGUCGGUUUAAAGAAUGGUGUAAAAAAUUGUCAAGUCCUAUGAUUAUGCAUUGUGUGAAUUAAUGACUGAAUUUGACCAUGCCUUGGGUAGGCGGCAACUGUGCUGGCGACGGCGUACUUAUCCGGAGCUAAGGUCAUUUUACGUGGCGUUGGGAAGCCGUACACAGGAGAGAAGCACACAACCAGAAAGCUUGUCAAGAAACUCUUCAAAUGACACUCAACUGUGCUGGCUUCUUAAUUUCGUUAUAAUCACAGCAUAUAUGCUGUUAAUUAAUUUGUUUGUUGAUUAUGUAAUCUAGUAUCGUUAUCGUGUAUUUUCGAAACUUGAACGUGAAUUGAUGAAGUUGUUUUGGCACUAGUUUAAUGUCAAAUCUAAUUAAUUCUCUUUUGUUCUAGAGCUUCUCUUUCUCUACUGUAAUUAACUGAUGUAGAACAAAUGAUUGAGUGAAUUGAAGGCAAAAUGGACUGAAGAAAGACAAACUACAAUAAGUAAAAAAUAAUAAUAAAUGUUAGAGAGGUGGUACAAAUGGAAUUGAGAUUCUUUUCAGAUCUCAGGGUCUGAAGUCGACGGAUCAAAUAAUCUAGAUCACAUUUCAAAUCUUACAACUCUCACUAGUCUUUUUCAUUUGCUCACCUCACAAAAUUCAAGGGUUUGGAUCUUUCUCCGUCUUUUGAACAAUCUAGAUUACACAGUCCAUCAACUCCAAACUUCGAAAUCUGAAAAGAACCUACAAUAUGAUAUAUAAAAUAUAACUAGAGUAGCAUUUUUUAUAAUAUUUAUAUGAGCUCAAUUUUAAGGGAUCUCUAGAGUAGAGCCUAAAGCUUAGUUUAUUACAUAAUUUAUUCAUGAGAAAUUUAAAAAAUAAGAUAAAAUAAAAUAUAAAAAAAAUCUAAUCUCCGAUUCUUUUUACUUUUAUUAAAACCGUCGUCUAUAAAAUUUAAACUCAGAGCCUCCUGAAACUGAGACUCCAUCUCCAAAUAAAAGAUGACAAAUUCAAGUGCAGCAACAACACAGUACAUCUAAACAGCACUCACAAGUCUCAUAGCAGCAGAAACAAGAAGAAGCUGCAAACAAACUGCACCGAAAUUCACAGAUCACAAAACGAAAUUAAAAGGAUAAUCAAGUACAUAUAUAAGUAAAAACUGUAAAAAUUUCAAUCAUACUAACCAAGCAUAGAGGCACCCCUUCUCCUCGUGGCGCCGUCAAACGUGAUCAACCGGGGACAUUUCUUGGUAACCCGGUGGUGCAUACAUUUUCUCUUCUUCCUCCUCCCACCACAAAUUAAGAAAGAUAAAUAGACUGAGUGCUGAUUUUUCUGUGCAACUCUCUUCUUUUUUAGGCUUACAAAUUUGAUAGAAAUACUGAAUGAUAAAAGCUGUGUGUGAUUUGCAACCACUCAGAUUUGGUAUUAAAUGUAUCCACCAAUCAUUUUUAUGAGCUUCCAUUACAAAAUCAAUGGUUGACAGGUGGGUGAGGGAAUGAAGCUGAGAUUCUAUCCCACCACAGAAGUGGGCAGUCUAACUCUUUAUAAGUACAGACAAAAUCGCUUAAUCUUCGUUGUGUAAUUCACAUUCUCAACACACUCCCUUUUGUGUGGGGUCAUUUAAGCCUAGCACAUGACAGCACACUUGGGUAAAGUAGGAGCAAGCAAGAUGUGACUCAACACGUGAGUAACAUGCUCUGAAACCAUAAAAAAUGUUUAGGGAAAGUUAAGGUAAAUAAACCAAUUAGUAAUAUUGGACGUAGCCUAACUCUUUAUGAGGACAUGCAAAAUCCUUAAUUCGCUAAUGUGAAAUUUACAUUCUCAACAGCAUACAUAUAAACAUACAUACAUACAUGUUUACGUGCAUAUAUAUAUACAUGUAUAUAUAGGUGUGUAUAUACGUAUACACAUGUGGGUACAUACGUGCAGGCCAUGUGUGAUCACCGUCCAAAUGGAGAUGUGAAGUCAGAUUCCAAUGGCUUGAGUCAUGACACCAUCAUCAGGGCUUCCCGUGAUUCAUAUUCACAAGAAAUCACUGAUUUCUUUAUCAAUAUAAAGACGAGACUACCACAUCUUCUCUCUUUUUAUUCUUUCAUGUAUUACAAUUGUAUGAUUCUAACAUGGGUUAGUAGACAGAAAAAUAAGGGUAACGCAGUCCGACCACAUCAUCCACAAAGCACCUCUCAAAAUAUUAAGGGAUGCACCUCUCAAAAUAUUAAGGGAUGGCGUAUAAUUUGAUCUUACUCGAUUCCAUUGAUCUUCAACCGAUGCAGGAGUUGCCUAGUUAGACAAUCCUAUUGAAAUUUCGACCGUUUGUAUGUGAUCUCGUUCUAUGUAAAAGUUAUCCUAAUCAGUCAGCCCUACCAAAAUUUCUCAAGUAUGUAGAUAAACUCUUUUUAGCAGAAAAAUAACUUUAAACUCAAAAUUUAUCAACACAAGCGAGACCAAAACACCGACAUAAUAACACAAAUAAUGUGUAUAAUACGAGUCAAAAGUUGUUCCAAAAGUCAUCAUAUCAACAACAUUUAGAUUUAUGAACUUCACCUAGUACAUGUGAAUCCAUGCUAGCCAAGGUCAAACAUGUUUGUCCAAAAAACCCAAAAAUACCCAAAAAAAAAAAAAAUGAAAUGAGGAGGACAUUAAUUUAGCUAUACAAAUCCUUGACAUUGCAAAGCGGAUGGCUUUAAACAUGAUCACUAUCUACUCAACAGGGAGACAAGAAAAAAUACAACUUACAAAAGAUAGGCCAUAACAAACCAACCCUUCUGUAAAGAUACAAGAUGUGUCAACAAACAUAACACACGGCAAGCAAAACGGUCCUUUAACGAAUCUUCAGCGCAGCGGGAUCAUCUAUCAAUACAACUUAGAAGUACAACUCAGAAGUACAACAUCCAAGCACUAACACAAUCUGCACCGUUUGUUAUCUCUGGUCCAGUUCAGAACCAAAAUUUGAUACUCCAUUAGAGCUGUCAAACUAUGCAUGCCAAGUUCUGUUACUUAAGAAAUUAGCAGACAACAUGGUAAGCAGGAGGUUUUAUAGGAGAUAAAAAGUUACAGGCUACAGGUUGGACCCCGGCCGCAGUUUCCAAGCGUUCCCAUGUUAACCUUCGCUUCUCAGCUGCAGCGCUUGACCUUAGAUUUUCCUCCUCCAACUUACAUUGGCAGGCAAUUACCAGCUCCUCAUCCAUAUCGCAAAAUGUCUUCUUCAUAUUCAGGGUCAGGUUCAGCACCGCUUGAUUCCAGUGGUGUUGGGUGUUUCGCUCAAUAGCUGGGAAGACAAGCGGCAAGAUCACCUGGCGGUUAUGUGCGACAAGGUUAAGGAUGUGUUCAUUGUUCCACAGCAAGUGGGCUCGUUCAGCCACCUAAAACAAAAAAAUGUGUUAUUGUUUAGAAGCAUCAUCAGUUGAAUGAUCUAGAUCAUGCUAACGUAUAGUUCUUUACGAUCAAGCAAGCAAAUUUUCAGUCAAACAGGGGGUUCCAGUUUAUGCAGUAGAAUAUUACCUGGUAAUGAAAACUAUUAAGGCAGCAUCUUAUCCGCCGGAACAGGGGAACCAUGAUCCUUUGAAAUUCGUCCAUGCUAGUCAUUUCCAAAACCUCUUCUAACUCGCUUAAAAACAUCAACUCCUUCUGGCUAUUUGUUACAGGCCAGUACUUCAACAAGCCCUUUAUUACAGUACUCGCCAAUUUCGGAUCCUUAUCUAUAAACUGUACAACACAAUAUGUCAACUGCUGAUGAUAAAUACCCACGGACUUUGGUUUGUGUAGAGGAAUCAGAGCCCUCCACAAAAAUAUCUUGUGUUCCUCCUUCAGUGGCAAAGCAAACCCACUAAUUACACUUCCAAAUAUCUCCAACAGCUCAGAAAUUCCAUUAUGCCUUUCAGUUUCGAAAACAAAACGAUAUAUGAUAUUGCUUACAGCUUUCCGGAUAAAUGGUCUGUGUACCAUGAACUUUCCAUAAAUCCUAUGCAGAAUGGUUUUCAAACAAUCUCUUUCUCUUGGGUCCUCAGAGUCAAAGAGGUCAAGUAAUUUUACGAUAAAAGAGUGAUCCACAUGCUUUUUUGCCACCUUUACAUCAAGUGAACUAUAACUGAUAAACCGAACCAGAAGAUCAUACACAAUUUGCAGAUAUGACCAAGCAGGAUCAAACAUUGGUUCUUCAUCUUCUGUUUCACCGCCAGUAAAAUUAGAUCGAUACUUAGGUGGGAAAACUCUAAAUAGGUUGACUGCACACAUUUUACACACUGCAGAAAUUGCUGGUUCAGUGAACUUCACAGUCCCAGAAGAAACAUAAUCAACAAGUUCUAUUAAUGUUUCACGUUUGAGAUCUUGCUUAACUGGAUCGCUGGAAUCAACGAACUCACAGCAAAGGUUCAGCUUGCUGAUAAAUAGAUUAUGCUUCUGUGGGUUUGAAACCUCCUUGAAGGAUAGAUGGGGCUCCACUGCCUCAGCUCCAGCUGCAAUGCUUGAUGGGAAAACUGCUGAAGACACCCGCUUGACAACAUUUAAUUUGCUUGUAAGAGAACUCCCACCAAUUGUACAUGGGAACCCACUCCCCAAAUUGGAAGUAUUGCUGCCAGAAUCACUCCCUAUAGAAUCUAGUGAAUCACACUUUGACGACUUGCGAGGAAGUUUGCUUAGGAUUUGCUUCAGCAUGGUGGACCCUGCAUAAUCCAACCAACAUUUAACAUGGCGAAAUGUUGUAGCAAUCAAAUCAAUACAUCAAUACAUCAAACCUUCAAACAAAAUAUCUUCGGGCACAUCAGCUACAAAACCAUCCACAUAUAUGGAGUGUAACCAUAGUACUACAAUGUCCCGCAAAGGGAUUACACAACAAAGCAAUAUAAGACUUCAACUGUGUAGGUGGUAACGGGAAACGAAAAACAGACUGAGCGGAACACAACUUGCGAUGAAAUUGAAGCCGUUUAGAAGACAACUUCAGUUAGUCCAUGGACUGUUAAUUUGUCUAUUAGUAAUCAUCAAAUCAGAGUAAUAUCUACAUGACUGCAUUUCUUCAGUAAAGUUCAGAACAAAAGCAUAUACAAGUAGCAAGUGAACUGAAUCUUUCACCCACCAGAUCAAACUCAAAAGCAAUCAAUUCAAAACAUGAAAAAUUUAUACACCAAUAAAAAUCUAACAAAUACUUCUAUCUUACUAAAGAAGAACAUCAAUCUGACCACAAAAGAAACAAACACUACAGAAAGAAACAAGUUAAAAACAAGUCUCUAAUUAGCAACGAAUUAUAAGAUAAUAAAUGCCUAUAAAGUUAUUAGAUUUUGGUACAACAAACAAUGGAAACUCAGAUCUGGCACAAAAACAGAAUAAUAACACAGAUCUACACCAACCCCAGAUCACAAUUAUCAUAAAACCCUCUUGAAAAAUAAAACUUGGGCACGAUCUAGACAAUGCACAAACAAAAUUCAUCAAGAACAAGAAUUUGAAGUCUACCCAAGUUAGCUAAACUGAACACAAACAUUCAAGGAGAGAGAAACCUGUUUUGGAGCUUCUGGGUGUGCUUGUAAAAAACACAGAGAGACCCUUUUUAGCAAAUGAGAGUAGAGGAGGAGGUCAUGGUAUCCACAAAACUACCCAAAAUGUAAUUUUGGGUGAGAAAUGAAAAAGCAAUUUACUUUAGAACAAAGGGGAAGAAAAACAUAAGGCAGGCAGCAGAGAGAGAGAAAAAGAGAGAGAGAGAGAGGCAGUGUUUGGCUGUGAAAAAAAUGAUGUUUUGAUCCACUAUCUCCCUUUAUGUUGGACCAAAAGCUUAAGCUAGAGGGCUUCCAUGGGAGAUCAAUACGAGAUCAAUACGAGGUCCUCGAUUGAAAAGAAGAGGCGGUGUGGCAUUUUCUGAGAAUUGCAGGCGCCGGUCUCCACCCAACAAAAAUAAAGUUUUAACACUUUCAGUUGGUAGAGAAGAAAAAAGAAAGAAACUAAACUAUAUGAACAAAAAUAACUAUUUGAGAAAUAUUCCUUAAGCUAAGCUUGGCUGAGCUGAAUAAGAUCUGGAUUGGAUUUUCAUUUGGUAAAAAGCAUUGCUAUUAUUGUACUUGUGGGGCACCGAAAGCGGCCUUCUUGUGUACCAUGUUAGCAGUAGCACCAACCCAACUCUUGUGUGUUGUUCCCUUUCUAACUGAUAUUUUUGUUGGUCCAUUUGGUUUACUUAUGUUUGAUUAGCCCUAAACAAAGAAGAGGGGUAGAUGGAGAGGAGGACUACUAACCUCUUCUAAUGAUGUUAUUAUGACCGUAUCUCUUAUGCACUGAUAUAUUUUAAGUCGCAAUUUGGGUUAAUGCAUCAGAUAUUGAAUAUGUCAUAGUGUAAGUCCGAACAUGCGUUAUUGACUUGAGAUACCUUCACAUUAGUAUCUUACAUAUAAUUAGAUGAGGCAUAGACUCCCCAACAUAUAUUGUACAUACUCUUUUUAACCCAGUUGGGUUAUUUAGGUAACUCAACUUUUAUAAAGUGUUAUCAUAAAAUGAGAGAAUCCAACUCAUGACCUCUAAUGAUAAUACUAAAUUCUAUUAACAAACUGAGUUACAAUUUUCUUACUUGAAUAACUCGGCUUAAGAUCUUGCUUUGUAAUUUAACUGUGAGCCUAAUGCGUUUAAUCAUUGUACGAACUUCGUGGCUUUAAUUAUUAUAAGAGUAACUUUUAUUAAGACAAUAUGUGAGAAUUAAAAAAAUGUAUAUGGAUAGCACCACCUUUUUAUUAAUGUAUUUCACUCUUCAAAUUCCAUAGGGGUGAUUUUAAAAAAGAAAAGGAACCAUAAUGCAUGUUGGCCAAUUUAACAAAAGGUUAAUCUUUUGAUUUGUUCAAUUGUUCCCCAAGACAAAUUAUGGGAUCAACAUCAUAACUAAAUGACAAAAUAUAGUGCCAAGUCUUGUCCUACCCAACAGGGUGCCCAUCAAUUAGUUGGUAAGCAGAAAAAAUGUGUAUUAAACAAAAAUAAAGCAAAGUUAAAAUAAUAAAAGGUUGGAGUUUGCUUAUCGGCUUUGAGAAGCAAAGAAGACCAAAUGAUUCACAUAACAAUAACUUUGUUUCCAUUUAACUUCAAUCUCAUCCGUUAUAGUGAACUUUAUUUACAAAGUUAUGUUUGCCUGAUGACAUCCUAAUAACAACAAUAAAAUCUUAUUAUAAUAAGUGAGGUUGACUUUAUAUAUGAAUCUUAGAACGUCACUACACUUGAUUUUGCACCAAAUAUUCCGUUAACUCUAGAUACUAUAAUUAAUUGGCUCCCUGUUGGGUAGAACAUGGCUUUGCAUUCUAAGAACGUAAAAAUAUUUUUGCUCUUUACGUGUGAUGACUCAUUUUUCUUUAUUAUAAUGUUUAUAUUGUGAGAGUUACACUUAAUAGUAAGAACGGUGUCCGUUUUCUUGUAUCCAAGUUCGGAAAGGUUAGAUAGUUUACAUGAAGGUAUUGAAUUGGGAGAAUUUAACAGCAAAAUGCACAUGACUUUGGCUCGGUACAAGUACUUAUUAAGGACAAGAUGAUAUUGUCCAAAAAACAAAAGCUGGUGCGCAUUUCUGGCAUAAACUAAGGAAGCUAUUAUUACUAACCAAAUGAUCAAUUUGCAGUAAAAGUAGUAGGGCAGAGUACUUUUACUGGUGCAGCUGUAAUUACCAUCAAAGUUUCACUGAAUAACACACCUAAAAAGAGGGGGGGAAAAGGUACAGUCAGGUUAACCUCUCUCUUAUUUUUCUGACUGAAAUGGCUUUAACAAGGAAAAUAGGGACACCUGAAUUGAGAUUUUCUCUGUAUUUCACAGUUCGAAGCUAACAAAUUGAGUACUUUGGAUCAUUUAUUUUAAAUUUUACGGUUUUUAUUAGUCUAUCUUAUCAGUCUGCCACAUAAAAAUCAAGGGUAUGAUCUUCAAAAUUUCUUCUCCCUCUUUUGAUUUCUUCUCCCUCUUUUGAAUAGUUUGAAUUACGCAAUUUGUCUGCUCUGAACUACAGGAUAUGAAUUCCAUCUAUAUAUGCACAUGAUGACUCAGGAAGGAAUCUGAGUCCUUGGAGCUGCAAAAUGAUUACAUCAAAUUAUUAUAUGACUACCUUUUAAAAGAAGAAAUAAAUAAAAUGAAAUUAAAAGGGAUUAUCUAUUUCUACUUUAACCGUGCAGGACGCCAUGUACGGUGUACCUAUCCCAACGGCAUCUGAACUUUUCAUCAACCGAAUACGCUUGCAUGAUUCUAUAAACAUCCUGCAAUUAAUUGGAACAAAAAAACAAAGAAGAAAACGUAUGGUUAUACAUAGGUUUAGGGUUUGACAAAUCACAUGAAAGCAAAUUGCAUAACCAAACUUAAAUCUGGAAAAGAAAAUAGAAGUACGAUGAACAAGAAAUAGACCGAACCCUAGUCACACGAAAUGGCUCUAUAUUAUUUUAUGCAACAACAUUAAUCAAGACUCUUAUAGUUGAUGAAAAAUCAAUCAUAUAAUAUUUAAAAUUACAGUUUAUUAUAUGAUCGUUCCACUAACCAAACUCCACUAACGCUAAAGAUUUGGCCAUUUAGAAGGCUGGUGGGGAUUUGAAUUUGGGUCGCUACUAUGUAACACUUUGCCAACUCAACUAUAUAUAACCAUGAGGAUUAACAUGCACAUGGUACUCUUGGCUUGCUACAUAUAUACUUAAACACUAACUAAUUUUAGUUAUAUGAAAUGUUUUGGCAGAUUUGUGACAAACAUGCAUAUGUAGCACUUCCAGUCCUUUUAAAAAUACUUCCAUACGAGCCCGUAGGUACUGGUAACUUACUUCCAAGGGACGUCUCCAACUAACAUCCAGUCUCCAUACUUGUCUUCAUAUGUCAGCACAUAUUGAUCCAUUCCUUUCAAUGCAGGUUUCAUAACCUCAUUGCUAUCCUCAAUAUACUUACCUAAUUAAAACAUUAUCCAGAUUAAUUACUAACCUUGUAUUUAUUAAUUAGAGCUUGUAUCACAAAUUUAUAUUGGUAUAACAACUAGUUAAUUAACUAGCGCUAGCUAGAUUUUAGCUUAAUUAACUUUAUAAUACUCACGGCAUAUGGUUAAGAAGUGAACAUUUGGUCUAAGGCUGUCAAUAGCUCCUGAUAACUUUUGUACUCCUCCAAGUCUAGUUUACGCAGAUAAGGAGCUCCAUCUGCACUCACUUUUACAUUCUUUCUGCUGCUCUCCACCACCACCAACGCCUUCUGUCUCAUCGAUCUUACCGGCGGCCACCCAAUUAUUCUUGCUCUGAAUAUCAAAACCCCAAAUACACAGUUCGUUAGAUAAAGCUGAAAGGAAAAUGUCGACAAGCUAAACAAGUAUGAUGAUUUAGUCAACUUUUGACAUGGAUAUAUAAUUCUUGGAUUACAAUUUUAAAACUGAACGAUUUGAUAUCACACAUCGGAACUAUGCAUGUACGAAACAACAUAGACAAGUUAAAACAAGGACAUGGGUCCUCUCCAAUCUUUGCUUUGCAGCUGGGGCUUUGAUGACGGCGGGAGUAGUUGUAGAACUACUACUUGAUAAUGAACUGCCACGUGGACCGCUACAGGUAGAGCUUUUCUGUAGGCAAAUCUGAUCAACGGUCUCCAUGAACCCACGUUUCAUCGAGCUGCCACUCCAAAGACACGAUGAUGAUCAUAAUGACGUCGUACCAGGUAACCCUAAGGUGAGCUCAGUGUCCUUAAACUCCAUGCUUUCAUUUGCUGACAUCAGCUUUCCGGUCGGCCGGCUAGUACUGUGUGAACUUAUGCAGGUUGUUUGCUUUGUUGUUACAUACAUAGAGAACAGGAAGAGUGGAGGUAGAAAAUUUCGAAGGAGGAUCUCGCCGGAUCUCUUUCCUAUGGAUCCUAGCGAUUUCGCAAUUAUAUCCGUUCAUCGUAUAUUGUGCGAUCGAUUUUUGUUAGGUAUUAUUUAUAUUUGAAUUUUAAAUUUUAAAUUUUAAAUAAUUUAUAAUCGUACGAUGUAUAAUGAACGAAUAAGAUUGCAGGAUUCUUAGAAAAGGGAUCGGCAAGGAUCCUUGUUUGAUUAUUUCAAUGGCACGAGGGGGGGGCGAAUGAGGAGAGUCCACGUGGGGUCAGGUUCAUGCAUGGCUUGACAGUAGCAGCAUAGAAGUUUGUGCCGGCUGUCGGUUCAUCCAAUCCGAUUCAGUUUCUGUCACUCCCUCUGAAUCGACUUCCAUACAUUAUUACCAAAAUUACCAUAAUGCUUUAGAAAUUCCACAUCUUCAAUUGUACAAAUUGGAGGAAAUUCUGUAGGCAUUAUAAGCAAAAGUUACAUAGGGAAUUAUUGAAAGGAUGUGAUAUCACACAUUUCUUUUUACUUUUUACAAACAUUUUUAAUUUUCGGCCGUCGGAUCGGAUGAAAUAAAGAAGAUCAACGGACAUAAAUUAACAAGGGGUGUGUGAGAAGUAAAAAUGGGUGUGUGGAUAACACAUCCCUUAUUGAAUAUGUUAUAAAUACGCGUGAUAUAAUUUAAGUGAAACAGUAAUGUUACGUAACAAUAUUUUGUUUUGGUUUAUGAAAAAUUAUUCGUGCUAAUUGUUGUGCAUACAUAUAUAAUUCCAUUAGGAUAAUCCAAUUAGCGUAUAUCCUAAUCCUCUUUUUGUAUUUUUUUGGUAGAUAUUAUAUCGCUUAAAUAUUUGAUUUAGAGAAUCAUAGUAUUUCUCUAGGAAGAGGAUAUUUGAAAUGUGAAAUUUGAAGCCUCAAACAUUAGGGAGAAAAAAGCUCAAACAUCAGGGAGAAAGAUGUAACUAGACGAAAAGUUUGUGUAAUUGAUAACAUCAUAUGAAUUCGAGUUUUCAACUCUUAUUGGGAUCUUGCCAAACAUACGCAAUACUUGAGCAAAAUUAAUUAUUGAGCAAAAUAAGGAUAGAUAUACAUCUAUUUAUAUAUCACAUUUAUGAAUCACUUAAUACGACAAUUAAUGUGGUAGAUCACGUUAUCUGCCAUGUCAGAAGCUUGUCUUAGUUAAGUUUCUAAUAUAUAAUGAUUGUGUGACAUAUGGUUAUCAAACUUUUUUUUUUUUUUGUGAACAUAAGUUAUCAAACUUUAAGGAUGCAUAAGUGUAAUCUUAAUUUAUCACCAUGGAUUGAAUCUAACGAAUGAUCUAACUCGGUCUUUCAAAACUUGGAGAGGAAUAACUUUGACUGCAAAGAAGCCGAUUACAUUGUCCACGCCAACGGGUCUAAAUCCACAUCUUUGCCUCCUUUAAAAUUUGAAAGACUUAUAAUAUACUUUUUGUUCAAGGACAACAAAAAUAUUUUCUAAAAACACAAAAAAGUAUAUAGCCGUUUUCACAUCAUCUCCUUCGUUUCCUUCUCUUUAAUCACAAAACCCAUACAAUAUGUGAGUAUUUCAUGAAAAAAAGGUGGUUUUGAAGUCGAGACAUUUAUUGACAACAAAAAUAAUUACUUAAGCUGUUUUAUUAUUAAUAAUAUAUUAAUCCUUCAACCAACUUGGAUUACUAAACUCACCUCUCAAAAUGUAAAAUAAAACAGGACGUUACUUAGUACUACGUUCUGAAUGUAUUAUUUUUAUGUAUAAGUGAGAGAUUUUAAGCUCAAUUUUUGUCAAAACAAAUUUGAACCAAUUUAUUAUAACUAGCCAUUGUAAAACUUGAUUCACGCUUCAACCCCUUAAUGUAAAUAAUAUGGUAAGUUUCAAAAAAUGUAAAUAAAACUAUACAAAGUGCGGGGUGGGGGGUGGGGGGGGGGGGACUCGUUGACUACGAAUUUGGAUCCUCUCCUAAGCCAAUGGAGAGGAUCCUCCUAACCAACCAUUGUGGACUGUUGGAUUUUUAUCCAAUAACUACAAACAGAGAAAUCCUUUUAAAGUUAUAAUAAUUACAGUUGGUCAGGAGGAUCAUCUCCAUUGGCUCAGGAGAUGAUCCAAAUCCGUUGACUACAGUUCCCAAAUUAAGGAUGAAAUAAGUCGACAAGCAUGUGACAAGUGUUGGAAUGUCGAAAUCGUGUUGCCUUCCAAUUCGUUGAAUUGAAAUCCAACAAGUGGCAGCCACUGAAAAUGAAAAUGAAGAUGCCUAUAUUGCUAAGGAGGCAGAUUGUCUGUCCUCCUCUUUGGGUGCCCUUCCGAUCCUCUCAUAUUUUGUGCGAUCACGGUUAAACUACGUCAACAUUUUAUAUUAAUUUUUUAUAGAGAUAAUAAGACAAAAAAUAAUAAAAAUAUAAAAUAUUGACGUGGCUUAACCGUUACCGUACAAAUAAGAAAAGAUAAGAAGGGCACCCAAAGAAGAGGGCAGACAAUCUACCUCCAUAUUGCUAAACCAGCGCGCAGCUUUACACGACCAGUAGCUUUAACUUUAGAUUAGUUGUUAAUCUUCUUUCUUUUUCUUAUUCCAGUUAAUAUUUAAUUAAACAUUUACUUAAACCCUUAUUCAGUGUUCACCGCUGAAAUCUCACUAGUAUCAAACAUUGGCGAGAUUCCUAGGAUUAGACAUCAGUCAUCUAAUUCAUAGUUAUGGAUUCAGAAUUUUUUCUUCUUCUUGAGAUCAACUUGAGAUCAAGAUGAAGUUCACACGCUACGUUUACUAGUUACUCUUGACUCAUUACCCUGCCUUAGCCUCUUAGGGGCAUUUAGUUAAACCUUUUGAGUCAUACUCAAAGGCUUGACAAAAGGGUUGUAUUUGUCGUGUUCGUGUUGUUUUGUGUCAUACUCGUUAUCUAAACGAGUCGUGUGGUGUCAAACUAGUUACCUUAACUGGUCUUAAUAGGUGACCCGAAAACGAAUUGGUAACGAGUUCUUAACAAGAAAUAACCUGAUAACAACCCAUAACGGGUCAUUUAGUAUUCGGGUAGCAAAUCAUGCAAGAAAUUGUCAAGCCUAAUCUCUAGAUUUGGCUAACGAUAUAUCAUUAGGUUCUUAACGGAUGAUUCGAUAACGAUCCGAUUCGUUAACAGGUUGACCUGAAACCUAUUAUUUUCGUAUUGUUUCGUGUCGGGUUAACGAGUUGUGCAAGAAAUUGCCAAACUUACUCUAAGAUACCAUCAACUGAAUAGCGGGAAGUGAGAGCAAUUGCAUACAUAAAAGUUUACAGUGGAUCCACGAGUGUAGUCGUAGUUAUGUAGAAUUUCAUAGAAUGAUUCAAAGUUUAAAUUAGUUGGCAUGCGAUGGUAUAAUUAAUAACCAAUGUAUUUGGUUUUGCGCCAUCCAAUUUCAAUUAAGCAAUUGGAGAAUGAUGCCUAAUCAUGUGAGGUCUCAUGCAGAGUUUUGAGCUUUCAACCUGUACAUGUGCAAUUGUGCAUGCAUAUGAGUUGUAUUAAGAACAAAACAAAGCCAUUAAAUAUAUAUAUUUUUUCCUCUAGUUUUAAUUGUAGCAUUUUAAUUUGGGCUUUUAAUAGUUUUAUUUUCUUCACAAUAAUAUGGGCUUAAAUCAAACACCAACAGGCACAGACAACUUCAGGUAGAAUACCCAAAUCAAUAACCUUCACCUGUAGCCAAAAAAGUGGGGUACUUUUAAAUUUAUUCAUUUGUUAUAAAUAGGUAAAAGAGAGACAACUUUUGUUAGAGAUCGAAGUAGAACAUGAUUAGUGUAUCACUCUGUCACAUUCUCUUUACUUGUGUUAGAUAAGGGAAAUAAAUAUAGAAGGAAAGAAGCGAGAGACACUUGUAGAAUUUAUUUCUGCAAUAUGAUUUGAUCUUUUGUUGUUUUGUAAGAAAAAUGUGUUGUUUAUGGUAUUUCGGAGUCACAAUAUAACUCUUUUAUAUAGGCAAAAGUCACAGAGACAAACAACCAAAAUCUUAGUUUUCCAAAAAAAAAAAAAAAAAAAAACCAUAAUCUUACGGAUAUGACAAUCACAAAGCAAAGACGGUUGUAGCAAAUAGUAGGUAAAAGCUUCUCCAUCGCAUGUGGGGCAUCCAUAUUUACAACAUUAUUUGAGUUUUACCACAAAUAAUCUUUUAUACCAAUUCAUUGAUUUUCUUCAAAUAAUCCUUUAUAUUCUAUACUCAACAAUUUGGUCUAACAAUUCACAUGGCACAAUGUGAUUGGCUUCCUAGAUCCCGUUUUUACGUCACAUCAGCUCGUUAACAAUUUUUAAUGAACUAAAACAACAAUGACGAAAUUGAUGAGUUUAGAACAUAAAAGACCAAAUUGACAAGUUGAUAAAACAUUAAUGAUUUGUGAUAAAAACUCUUUAUUUUCCAGCUCAAAAAUUUCAAUAAAAAUAUUAGCAAAGCCUAGCUAGAACAGUAUCAGGACAAAGUCCAGUCGACCAAGACAACAUUGAAAUAUCCUUUAUGUAAGUGGUGCGCUAAAAGUUUAGACUGGACAAUUGUGUCUCUUCUAGUCUUUGAAUUGCAUAAAUCAAAUAAAAAUAGAGGCAAACAGAAAUGUACACGAGCAAAAUGGGUGUUCGGAAAUCAUUUUCCGGAAGAAAAAUGGCGAUUUUAAUUGAGAAAUAAAAAAAUAAAAAAUGCGAUGUAGAGAGUGCAAUACAAGAGGAGGUCAUUAUUCACAAAGACACCAAUCUUCCUACAAAACGAUCCAAAUGUGAACUAAUGAAAAAAUUAAGCCAUAUCUAACUAGAGAAAAUGACAAAAAUAGUCUUGUCUUUUGCCCAGUUUACCAAGACGAUUAAUCUGGCGUCAGGAUAAAACACCAAAGGUUCCCAGUGGCACAAACCAAUAAAAUUACAGGCACAAAACCACCAUGGCCGGGUGGAGUAACGACGCAGACUACUAGGGCGGGGAGAGAGACGGGGAGAGCGCGAACCAGAGCAAGAGAGAGGGAGAGAAGAAGAAGAAGAAGAGUACACAAGGGCUAAUUACAAAGGGACUACAUUUUAUCCUUUUUCCAAAGAUGACAGAUGGGAAUAUAUAUAUAGGGUGAAGAAACAUAUUUCAAUCCGAGAAACAUGAGAAGGUUUGUACACAAGCAAUGGGCACAAGCCGAGGGGACGGGUUCUGUCCCAGCCAUAACGAACCCAAUGUUUUGCUAUGCGCUUUCUGCUGGAAGAUGACCCACAAUCCCAAGAUUGUUGGCAUAUUUGGGCCUCCACUCAGUCCUUCCCCUCACAAUCUCAGCCCCAUCCUCAAGUCGAAGCAUGUGCUGGCACUCCACCGUGCCAUUACUUCCCAGGUUGCCGAUAUCAGCACCUGAGACUGCAGUCAGAGACUGAAGCACACUGUCCCUCCCGCACUCCCUCCUAUACUCCAGAGUCAAAGAAGAGAGCUCAUGACUCUCCAGGAUUGGCAAGGGAGCACCCUGCAUCAACCAGAAUCAUCUUUCAGUUAAAGAGGUGUGCAAUAGUAUAAGAUGUAAAUAAGGAACGAUCAUUAUCCAAUAUCCAUCCAAAAUCUCGAUGUAACAUAGCCGCUAAUUACUUUUCAGCUUGGUAUGUAGGUUCAACUUAAAAUCAGCAAACCUACUAGUACAACUUCAACUAAUGGAAAGAAAAAAAUUCCAUUGAAAAAAGUCUACCUCAAGGAUCCAGCCAAUGUACUUCACGUUAUUAACGUGCUGGUUGACAUCUAAAUCACUCCAUCUAGGCUGCAAAUUGAGGGGGAAAAGGAAACAUAAAUAGAAAAUCUUUCGUAGUGAGCAAGCAGCUAAAAGAAACGCGUGAAUUAUGUGCAAAGAUGGUUGACUUACAGUCAAACCAGAGAGAACAACGUCCGCUGUUUUGUCAUCAAGUUUCGGCAGUUUCCUGCCAUCUUCCUCCACAACAGGAGGAGAAUUCAUAAAAAAGGACUCUAUUUCACCGCGAACUGCAUCAGGCAUCUUUGAUAAUCUCCUCGUCACUUUAUUCAUCAUCACCCACACACUGCAAAACCAAAAGGGAAAACAACGGCCAUACAAAUCCCAGUAAGUUACUCUUUAAAACACCAUUUAAUUGUGCAAGAGCACCAUAUUGCUGAUUGAAUUGCCAAAAGCUACCUUGGAUCUAUAAUAUAGAAAACAUAUCUUAGACUGUAUAACAAUUACCUGGAGGCUCUUGUUAGAAUUUGGCCAGUUUUCAAAUCCUGGAUAAUCCAAUCACGACGCAUUCCAUUCUUCCCAGAGGCACUAACCCAAGUGUCAACUUGAACAACGUCACCCCUGCAAUAAAGAAGCAAUUUGAGUCUAUCAGCAUAAUUGUCCAAUCAAAUUAAUGAGUGACAAAUCCUCCCAUUCAGAGAUAAGAGUUAUAUAUAGUCAUCAGCUAUAACAGAUGGUAUAAAACUUGUCAAUUUUAACCUAGUUGGGCAUAGAAAUGAUGUAUUAGUGCAAGUUAAUUAUGUUCCCAAAGUCGUCGAUACUUUAGCACUCAUUCUUAUAUUGAGAAUUUUGAAUAGUUAGCUUCUGCCUCUAGUAUCUUCCUCUUCUAAAACAAUACAUCAACUCGCUAGAAUCAGAAUGCAAAUGGAUAUGAAUACAUAAUACAUUCAACCUUUAUGCCAAAAUCAUUACAACAUAGAAAGACGAAAGAAAAUAGGUAGCCUUCAGACCUUGAAUACACAGUGAAGAGAAAAAAAAGAAUAUUAAUGAGAAAUUAGCUCCGCCUAUCUACAAAUAACAUUUUGAAUUACUGCAAUAAUGCAUCAACAGUGUGCUUGUGUUUUUUCCAAACACCAAAUUGAAUAGUAACUUUUGAAGUGUCCCCACUACUAUUCAAGGCUAAUCUUAAAAUUAUACAUAAUUCAUACAAUAGAUAACGGCAUAGCAGAACCAACAUAAAUUCCAAAAUAGUAAAGUCAAUCAACCCAAAUACAUAAAUGAACAAGUGACCAGGCAAAAUAAAGAGUAAACAACUUUUCUAGCAGAAGAGCAAGAUGAAUGUGACUUACCAAGUAGGAUAGCGGUCUACCACAACCUGCAUCUUCGUUACCACCCAUAUCAGGUUUCUUACAGUCAUCUCUGGAGUUGAACCAAAACCAUCUCCCAGAAGUCCAGCAGUCUUAACAUGAUUAAGUGCUGUUUCCUGCAGCCCAAAAAGAGAAGUAUGUAAUGACAAAGCUUGUCAGGAAGAAAAUGCACUCAAGCUCAAGAACGUGAACCAGUCACAGAACAUGUAAUUUGUGCUUCAAUCUCCUUAACUACAAACUGAAUUUGAAUUUGUCAAAAACUAUAACAUAGAAAUCAAAUUUGUCAAAAACCUGUAAAUGAUUCAUUAACGUCUCUAUUGAAGCCGUACGAUCAGCACCUAUUUCAUAUGAUCUAAUUGAGAAGUUCUGGCGAAAGACAAGACCAUCCUGAACAAUUCGUCCUAGACCAAAUGGGUCAAUGAGCAUGUCAGGUCGCUUGGGUUUCCAAUCAAGCAUUGUCCAUUGCUUCUCUGCAGCCAAGAAGAUUGUGGUAAUAGCAGCAAGGAGCACACUCCAAUCAGGUAAUUGGUUAAUGAAAGUCCGUGCCGGAGGGGAUGAAAUGUCAUCCCCAUGCUUCCCACUUUCCACGGUUGCCAAACCAACACUAGUUCCAUUUAUCUUUGAAGGGGCUUGAGCAUUUGCCUUUACCUGCAAACCACCAGAUGCAGACUUCGAUUUGAGUCCUAAAUUGGCUGACCCAAGCUUGGCGUUCUUGGCGCUUGAGUCUGAGUUGGGAGAAGAAACCGGAAAGAACGAGGCAGUAGCAGAAGUGGCAACCAUGAUGACAAUUGGAUCAGAGCAAAGAGUCACCGAUCCAAGCACUGUAACAGUAAAAUUCCAAAUUUGUCAAUGUAGUUUCACAUGGGAAUACAAAAAUAACCAAUCUUCAGCAAUAUGCACAAAAUGCCGGCAUGUUACUACUGCGGGCAUAAUAGCCAAUUGCCAGGUAGCAACUGACACCAAAACACCGACGGUAACAUAAUUUGAACAAAAAAUGAGAACAAUUCCUUCCCUAACUAAUUAGGCCAAUAACACCACCUGAUUCCAUACUCAGAAACCAACGAAAAAGCCAAAAGAAUUUGUACUGUGCAAUUAUCAUUUUUCGUUUAUUUGUUUGGGAGAAAGCAGUCUAGAAGACAACCCAAUUCAGAAACUUAAACAAGACUCAACAUUCAAAAUUUGAACAACAUAUUCUCCUUACAAAACCGAAAAAUAGAGGAACUAAACUAAAAAUUACUCUAACCCCAUAAGAGCUAGAAAUUAAAAUUUUCAGCAUAUGUUUCAAUCAUCAAUGAUUGUGUAUAACCAAAAUCGAAAACACGAAAAAUUAACAAAAGUAUCAGAGAAGCCUAAAAUUGGUGAGAAAAAAUGCACAACCAGCUGAAAUUAUAAAACUUUAUCAGAACUUAAUCUGUCUAAAAAAACAGAAUUAAGAAGCACAAUGAUUGAUACAGCUACGGCCCACAAAAAAAACAAAAACAAAAAGAACACUUUCGGGAUAUAUGCAGAGAAAAUCAAGGCAGAUCUGAGCUUUUGCAUCAACACAAAUCCAGUGAGAAAUCACACAACAUUUCAUAUGCCAUACAAAUUAUUUACAAUACGAAAAGAGAACCAUUUUUCCACUUCGUUACUUCAAGCAAACAAAUUUUCUUCCUUGUCUGUUUGGUUGCCGAGAAAAUGCAGAAACGAAAAGAAAAACAAAUCAAAAUUUCAAAACUUUCUCACAUAGAUCUUCAAUUUUAACGGGCAGAGAUAACACCUCCCCCUCAAACGAAACGAAAAAAACAGAAACAACGCGGCAACAACAACAACAUUCCCAUUCAUUCCGCCUUACCUCAACUUUCUCGGCAACCAAACAGGCCCCCUCCGGAAGAAAUCGAGAAAGCUUUCUGGACCUCCUCCUGCCCUCACCUUAAACCAAACAAACACGAAUCCAGAGCAGAUGGAAGGCCUAUUGCGUCAUUCCGGAUCGGCAAAACCUCGAGUUCUGCGUAGUUUCCACGGUUUUCCGAUUCUCCUUCGGUGGUGGUAGUGGGGGUGGUGUUUCUUUUAGCUUUCGAGAGAGAGAAAGUGUAGAGAGAGAGAAAGAGAGAGAGAGAGAGAGAGAGAGAGAGGGAGGGAGGGGAUUUUAGGGCCAGCGGUUUUGUGGGUGGUGGGGAAUUGGCGUCCAGCGAGGGACUCAAUAUAUAGUUUCUCCACCUGGCUGUACGUUAUCCCGCCUCAUUCCAAACUUCUUCACCCGACACCAUUUUUCUUCUUUUAUUUACGUCUUUGCCACUCCCACCUUUUUUUUUUCAAUUUUUAUUUUGUUAAUCGGAUUUAUUAAUUUGCCAACAAUUACUGUUGAGUUCUUUUUUGGUUCAUUAUUAUUGUUGUGUUAUUUUGGUUUAACAUUAUUGUUAUUGUUGAGUUGAGGGACCUUUUAUGUUUUACCAAAUUGCAGAAAUUGUCGUUAUGGUGGGGUUAUAUGUAAAUUUUAGAAUAUAUGGUGGUAAAAAAAAAAAAAAAAAAACUCUUGAUGACACACAUGUGUGAAUAAGUUAUCAAUUUUAGUCCAAAUCAAACUUAACAUCUAAAUUGUUUAAUUUUUUUUUUUGUAAGAGAUCUUGUAACGCAAUUAGUUAAGAAUAUUCGUUGUUGCAUCAUCUUGUAGUUUAGAUGAGUUUAGUGUAUCAUCAUAUUGUUUGUCCAACAAAAAAAAGUCUAAUUCUGUCCAUGUAAGCCUCAUUUUUAAGAAUGGAAGAUCAUUUCAAGCCUAAUUUAAAGGUCAAACAAACAUUGCAUGCCUAAACUCAGCCAAGUUAGCUACAGUGUGAUCUACGUUAUGCAUUCAAUGUUCGAAGUUCUCUUCUAGGUAAGAUAAAUUGACUAUAAAACAUAACUUAUAAAUUCAAACAAAGUUCAAUGUCUGAAAACAACAUUUUCACUCUUGUAUGUGAACCACACAUAAACGAAUCUAUUCAAAAGAUAAAUAUCAUGACAACCACAAUUGCGAAUUCUCUUAAUACUCUUUGAAACGCUUCACUUUUACCAUACUUUGUAUUGAGUCAAUUUAGGAAAUUAUGAACACAUUAGUGAGUAGUUUAAUAUCACCAUCACGUUUGUUCAAAAUUUGAAACAUGUCAUUUUUAAAGGUGUAAAAGGGGCAAUUUGGACCCUCCCCUCAAAUUCAUGAUUCAAACAAUAUCCGUCCUUUAACUCUAAAACAAUGUUAAACUUGUGAUUAUCCAUCUUGUAACUUCCAAAAGUUAACAACAACAUCAUCCUAGCGUUAUAAUAAUACCUUUUUAAUUUAAAAAAAAACAUACAAAUUGUAUUUUGGGACAUAUAUUGGUUGAGCUACGUAUUAGCUCGAUGCCAAACUUGAACACUACAUUCCAUGAUACCCAUCUCUCAAAUUGAUGGUGAGUAGCUCAACCAUAUGUGUACUAAAUUAACAGUUGUAUUGCCAGCUCAAAUUGGUUUUGACCUCCAACGCGUUGGAGACCGAAGGAAUUACAUUCAUUCUCAAAUUGUUUAUAUAUGUAUACAAACAUCUAUAUAUAUACAUGGUUUUGACUUGUCAUAUGAUUAUGUGUCAUGUUACUUGAGGUCUUCAAAUAAUCAAGAUCCUCUUCAGAUUUCUGUGUUCGAAGAUGACGGACAUAAAGAUCUGAACCACUCAUUUUAAAUCAUAUGACCUUCAUUAAUACAUCUCAUUAGCCCACAUCACACAAAUUAAGGGUUCAGAUCUCUCUCUCUCUUGAACGGUCUGAAUUUCUCAGUCCAUCGACUUCGAACUGUGAGAUUCGAAGAAAAUUUGAAUUCGUAUUAAGAAACAAGUUUCAUUAAAAAAGUACACCAUUUUAAUUCUUCCAUCGACCAUCCCCCCAUCGGCCAUCCUCCAUCAGCCAUCCCCUUAACUUAACCCAGCAAUAUUACAAUUUUAUUUUAUUUUGUCAUCCUAUCCAUAAACUUUAAUUUAAAAUGUGUAUUGUUGAAAAACGUUGAUGUAUAUAUGCUUUUUUUGGUAAUACGAAAGGAAAAGGAAAGUCUCAUUUGACAAGCUCAAUGAACUUUGUUCGUUGGCUCAAGUUUUGACCCUUCAAUCUUGUUGGCUCACGCUACGUUUUCAUGCAAGCAUACUCCUCAAAAAAGUUACUCUAAACAAGUUAAUCUGCUCAAUAGAGCCAUAUCUGUGACGUAGAUCAACUUGAUCAAAAGAAAACAACUCUCGAUUCAACAACUUUUAUCACUUAAAUUUGCAUUCAAAGUUUCCUUCCGAAAAGAUGGACGACUACAUGCACGUACGUCAUUAUACUAAACAGUCAUCCAGUGCUUGUGCAGUGUUGAAUAACUUUUAGGUUUGACAAUGACACUGCUAGUGCUAAAGCAAAUCAGGUGGUGAUAUAACACGUACCAAACCACUUACAUGUAGACCUGUAAACGGGUCGGGUUUAUUGAGUUUGAUCGGGUUCAACUUGACCGGUUAAGUUAACAGGUCAUCCGAAUUCAACCCGUUAAGCUAACGGGUCACCCGAACCCGACCCCGACCCGUUAAGCUAACGGGUCACCCAUUUCACCCUUUAACACCUGUUAACAAUUAUUAUUAUUUUUUCUUUUUGCAUAGAGUUUAUAUUUUGUUGUUAAAACUUUAUUGAAAUUACUAAAACAUCCUCAACUAAAGGGUGUUAACGGGUGCUAACGAGUCUAAUGGGUUGACCCAAAGUGACCCGUUAUUUAACGAGUUGUUAACGGGUCGGGUCUGAUCGGGUUAACGGAUUAUGUUCAAAAUGCCAGGUCUACUUACAUGAUAACAUGCGUAAAACCAAACAUUUCGCAUCCUUGUUUUGUGAAUUAUGUGUAAUGAUCGCUUUAAAAUUUCUCGUGCUUGUGUUGUGAACUAACGUGUGCGUUUAUGGAAAAAUAGAAAAGAAAAAGAAAAAGCUAAUUAAUUAGACCGGUAAACUACAUGUUGUAUCUUCUGCGUGUGUUUGGCGCGUUGAACGUUAAGACGUUUCCUUGCUUGUGGACUGUGACGUGUGCGAAGCUGGUAAAACCAAGAAGUUUCUUUUCCGGCGGUCAAGGGCGGAGAGAACAACGGUGAAAAGACGUGCAACGGACAUAUACCAGUGGCAGUUUUGUGAAUAUCAGUGCAUGGAAAGGCAAACUUGGUAAAGCGAUAAACAGUUAGCGUAGCCUAACAAGGGAUUUAAUCCGUUAACUGUCCUCGGCUAUUUGUUCACUGGUCCCCAUGAUCCGUUCACUUACACAGCCUGGCAACCAGCAAUUAGGGUUUUGAACUUAUGGGAUACAACCUGGAUUUAUAACCAAAAAAUAAAUUAAAUAAUUUAGUAUAUGAAAUUAAAUUACGAUAUGAAUAUUAAUCGACUAAAAUUAUUAAUUAAUAAUGGUUUUAUUUUUCAUAGAAAAAUAUUUUCCUAAACCUUGCAAUAGAUUGAUUGGGAUAGUGUAUCCGAGAGCCAUGUGAGAUUGGAUAAGGUGGGGUUGCCAUCCGGUUAGUACGUAUUAAAAGUAAUACUAUAAUAAUCUAACAGAAAUGAUACGUACACACGUUCUAAGUUUGAUUCCUAAAAUUACAUGAUGAUAGUCAGAGGAGGAUGAAAUGUCUCCAUGAGUUUCUCCUUCCCCCCCCCCCCCCCCGGGCACCAGUUGGUCCAUUUAAAAAAAAAAAUUCUAAUAGAAAUUUUAUAUUAACUAUUAACAAUUAUGUUUACGGGUAUAACACUUCAAGUCAUGGGUUUUGCUGGCAAGAGAUGGAAUAAUAUGGAUUAAAGUUUGGAUAAGCUCGAUGUUUAAUGUCCUCCGAUGCAAUUUCGUUCUAAGUAAUUUAUAGUAAGAGAUGUAACGUGUCCUAUUUAUCAAGACAAGUGGCAGAUAUAAGGACUGAGAUUUUAUACGAAUUAGGAACUCAAUUAGGAAGAUGACUCUUGAAAGAUAAGCCAAACUAGGGUUAAUUAAGGGCCUUAAGGGCUUCGGUUUCAAAAUUUUAUUCUUCACACGGAACCUUAACCCUAUCUAGGAGAAUUUUGAAAUCGAAGCCUUAACCUAGUCUAGGUUUUACUAUGAGAUGAGAAUAUGAAUGCCAUGCGUGAUCGAGUAGUCAAUUUCCCAUAUAUAUAUAUAAAAGUCAAGAGAUACACUUUUGACGUUUUUUUUUUUCGUGGAGUUCAUUUUGUAAUGUAUUUUAACGAUUCAAAAUAUUUAUAUUUUAGUUAAUCAUUCAUAAAUCAUACUUGCACAAAAUUAGACAAAUCCAAAACCAUUAAAACAUACAUUCAUUUAUAGUAAAGAAAACGAACGAAUAUGGUCCUACAAAAAAAAACUAAAUUUAAUCCUACAUGCAGACAUAUAUGGCUUCAGAUUUAUGUGAUUUUUUUAUAGAUAUGAUAUUUGAGUUAAAACAUAAAAGAUAGACGGUUAGGUCUUUGAAAUACAUUACGGAGCGGGCUACACGAAAAUAUGUGUCAAAAUGUGUGUCAGAAGCGUGUAUCCCUGGAUUAUAACAUAUAUCUAAAUAUAAUUACCCAAAUCGAAGCCUUAAGAACUAGUCUAGGACGUUCUCUUAUGAGAGGUCACUUCCAUAUAUAAUAACAUGCAUACGCUCCAAUACAACAUGAACUCAAAGACAGAAUGAACUCGGAAAUGAAUCGAACUUGGAGGUGAGUGGCUGUGCAAAUAUGCACGUAAGAGGCUCGAUCAAUACUGAUCAUGAGGUCUACAGGAUAUAAAUCCACCGCUUCUAUGGGCGCUCUGGGUUUUCUGCUACCUGUCUGAAUAAUGUGCCUUCCUUUUAUUGUUCUCAAACAAUCUGAGACAGCCACGUACAAGCACAAUGCAUAGACUCCACAAAAGAAUAUGAGAGACCAAAGCCACAUUAUGCCAAAUUCAAUUAAUGUCACAUGAGCAUAUUUUCUAUUCUCAUCUACCAACCAAUUUCUCUGUUCAUCUAUUCAAUAUCGUUUUUAAUUAUUUGAAUGACUUAUAUAUGUAUGUGUUUAUAUCUCUUUGAGUGGUGAACCUUAAAAAAUAAAGAAAUGUUUGCAAUCCCAGAGUUCGAUUUGAAUAAUAAAAAUAAUUGAGAGAGAAUAGCACUAGGAGUCAAUGAAGACGGGUUAUUGGAACAAUUGACAUAACCGUAUGCAGAUCUAGAAUUCGAAGUUUAGGGUGCCAAUAUUAAAAGUCUGAAUGUCUUAGAUAGAAAAAUAUCGCGAAAGGCGAAAAAAAAAUUUAUUCACUAAAGCAUUUUGUUGAAUACCUUAUGGGUUUGUUGUCGUUAGCUAAAUUAAGUUGCGCACAUGUCAACAUGUAUUGACAUAUGCCAAAACAAUCUAAUGAGUGUUGUUGAGAGAAAUUAUCGAGUGUUGUCGAUGCAACCUGCCAGAGGCACUUCGCCAAACACUUGGGGGCUCAUGUAUAAGUGCUUUUAAAAUGACUUAAAACACUUUUUGGUAAAAUUGAUUUGAGUUCUAAAAGCACUUUUAAGUGUUUUUUGUAAGAAACAUCAAAUAUGUUAUUUUUGCAUGAAGCACUUAAAGUGUUUUUUAAGGAUCCACUUAAACUUUUACUAAGAAUUGGUCAUUUUCAUUAAAAACGCUUUCAGUUAUUUUAAAUGCACUUCCAAAUGAGUCAUUGAAGGUCACAAAAAAGAUUUGUACUAAACAUUCGAUAGGUCUAAAAGACCAUCACAUGUAAAUUAAUCAGACUAUGAAUAGCCCUACCACCUUAAUCCCAAUAUACAUUUGCCCACCGGUCACUACAACAUCUCGAAACAUGUUUUUAUACUGUUGUUACAUAAAACUUGUUGCUAUAACAAUAAAAAUUACAUUUGAUAAUUGUUGUGUUAUCUGUCUCGUCGGAACAACUACGUAGGAAAAAGUAGCUGUCCUGUCACCAUGCAUGCAAUUGAGCAACGUAAUGAAGAACACUGAUUCAUCUUAGCAACACGCUCACCAAGAACCUUAAAUUGAUUACUUGUUAUUGUUAUUUCGUGUGCAAACAAUUUACAAAUUCACAUUAAGUUCUAUUAUUUUAAACAAGAUCAGUCGCUUUUUUGUUUCAAAGAUGAGAAACGCAACACGAACUUGUCCGCUCAUCUUUAUAUUGAUGUUAACCAAUCACCGAAUGACUACUAUAAAUGAGUUCAAUAAGAGAGUUUCGGACUUUCAAUUUAAAGUAUUUAUUUAAGUAAAAAACAGAAGAAGAAAAAACCACAAGAAGUUAAAAAAAAAUAUAUUAACCAAAAGCAUAAUAUAACCGGAUGACCAGAGAAUACAGUCUGCAUGGGAUUAUAGGAUUGCAGAGACAUUGUCGGCACAAAUGAAAGAAAGCAAAUUUAGAGCACCUUUCAUGGCUUAAACAGAAAACACUCUUUGCCACACUUUGCCACUUGUCGGUGGUUUUUGUUGAGAGCAUCAAUCUUAUAUUGGGAAAAAAAAUGAUCAGUUUCAAGUUUAGUAUGUAGAUAAUACGGACAAUACAAAUCGAACGACUUGAAGCAUAUGUGAUCUUUGGGUUUCACACGAUCAACAACUUGCUCUGAUACUAUGAAAAAAUUUAAGGUUCCACCAUACAACUUAUUGACAACAUAAAGAGUAGCUCAAUUGCUUAUAAGCACAUGUAAGUCCUAUCAUUUCUCCAAAGGGAGCUCAACACUCCCAAAAGUUUAAUCAAAAUUGCCAGAGUCCAGUGCUGUGGAUUUUUUACUCAAACUGGUUGGAAUAUUAAUUAUCGAACGGUUGAAAAUCAAAUGCCAGAACAUUUUUUUCUGUACAAGUGAGUUGAGCGAAAGAAAAUUGAACACAGAAACUCGAUCCUGUUAUGUGUAUAUAGAUAACCACUUGAAUUAUUUGCGACUGCAAAAGUCAAGACAAUCAUAGGGCAAGACCAAACCAGAGGGAAACAUAUAUAUUAAUAUUACUAGUAAAUUCUGUCAAAGAUUUUGACUUGAUUAGAAGUUUCAGAACGUAGAAUCGAUCGAGUUACGAGUUACGAGUUACGAGUUGAGAGUGAUAGAAGCCAUAUAAAAUCCUUGUAUCAUCAUCGUCAGCAAUGAGUGGAAACCGUCCCCGAAGCUCCUGGAAAAAUUUGUUUCACAUGUAAAUCAUUCUUUUUUCUUCAUUCAUUGUGCCCUUUAUUUAUUUAUUUUUUCUACAAAGACAAUUCUUGAAUCUGUAUUACUAGUACUACUAGAUAAUAUGCACGUUAUGGUUUUCAUGCUUUGGCCCAUAAAUUUGGUAUUUUUUCAAUUACUCUAUGAUACUAUUUAGAAAAAGGCAGGGGUUUAAUAUGAACGAUGAUUUUGUAAUGCAAUCACGUUACGUAUUAAAGUUUACCUUAAUAGUGUAACAUGACAUCCACAACGUAAACACUAAUCUUAUUACAGUAAUAAUAAUGUCAUUCUAUGUUAUUAACUAUAACAUUUCUCUUAUUAUAUAUGUAAUUAAUGUUAGACUAGGAACUUUGACUAUUUUUUGUAAUUCAGACGUUAAAUGCUUAACUUCUUGUUGUAAUGCUUAAAUGCUGUUAAAUAUGAAGGGAGAGAACGCAAAAAUAAAUAACAUUAAAGGAUACUUUUAUAACAAUCACCAAUAAUUUUAUUAAACAAGUACCAUUAACUUUUACAAAAGGUACAGUAGCAUUUUUUUCUCUUUUUUCGUUGUUAAAGAAAGAGGAAAGUAAGGCUCCUUGUGGGUUUUACACUGAUAUGAUCAAACAGUUGAGAGUUGCAAACAAGAAUACAAAAUAAAAUCACCAAAAUGAUCAUGAACUAUGUGGUGCAUGGCAAAGUGACAUGUCAACGUUGCACAACUAACACACAUAUAAUAAAACAAAUUUUGACAAGGAAAUCCGAACUUCUUCAUAGACCCGUGCCUUAGGGUCAAUGUGGGUAGGUUUGAGUUUGUUCAGCUAUGUAUCUCAUAUUCUAUAUAUCUAACACUACACAAACACAAUAUAUAAUAUUUACAGUCUAAAUGCCAAAUUAAGGACCUGCCUGACCUGCCUCCAUGGUGCCGUGGUCCAAAAUAUUAAUCCACCGGUCCCCCAACAUGUUUUUCUUUAUAUUGCCGCCCUUCAGUUUCACAGAACCAUAUAUGUGUAGAAAGACAAACCUGAGCAUACCAGUGAAUAAGAAAAAAUGGACUAGAAUUCAAUAGUUCAAAUUUCGUCCAAAUCACAAUAGUAACAACUUUAUUCUUUUCGAAUCAGCGUGAACCAUUGGAUUUUGAUCCAAUUCCAUGCAAGUGUAUUUUAUGCAGUUCUCAGCUUAGUUUUGAUCCAUAAGCUGUGUAUUUAAAUUCAGAAUCAGUAAUUAUCAUCCAUAAAAAGACUUUGUCGUUAAAUCAAAUAAUCGUGUGUAGUUCGCUAGUUUUGAAGUACAUACCCUAACUAAAUUAUGUAUCCCCUAUAUACCUACCUCCCAAAACCUAAUAAAUAAAUAACCAUAUUAAAAGGAAGAAACAUUGAAUUGAUAUGUAUUAUUCAUGAACGUAGUGCGUUUACAGCCUCAUAGUUUGGAGAUGCCCAAUAAGGGACGAUCUAGUUGUACUCCAAAGCGUUUGGGUCGCAGGAGGUGCACGAUCCUCCUAGGAGAAGAUGGAAAUUGGAAAGUGAAAUCCAAAACCAAAUUCAAUUUUCCACCGUCGGUCGACAUGUGCUGAAUUGAAUUUUCUUAAUAAUAUUGUUAGUUGCAUGUAGUUUGGCAAGCAUGUGUUCAUUGUUGCAAGUUUCUUAUUAAUCUCAAGAAAUUAAUUGGGAAUAAAUUAAUUUUUGACAGUCUAAUUUACCUGAUGAUAAUUUAAAAUGUAGUGCAGGACCUGGCUGGGGUAGUAUAUAUAUUAAUUAAUUUUCAGUUAAUAACUUCAAGACGAUAUCCCACUUACAUGCAAAAGCUUCUCAACUGCAAAGUUUUCAUAAUUUUUGUUUGUGCUUACAGAUUAAUUAAAAAAAAGCAUCGAUCGAUCCUCUACCAAAAAGAGAAAACAAUAAAAAUCUAGAUAUAUAAAUUGAAUUCUGACUCUAAAUAUGUAAAUUGAUUUAAAGGUCCAUGUUUGACUUAGAAGUUGGCGGUUUCAGAAGUUUAGAUACUGGGACAAACUUUCGUAACCACUUAAUUUACAAACCUAGCAAGUUUAUAUUUAAAUGUAAAUUUGAGUACAUCGAGGAUUAGGGUUAUCCCAUGAAAAAGAUAAGAAAAGGAUUAGACAGAAGAGACUACUGGAGAUGUCAAGAAAGUGAAAUUCCACUAACCAAUGGUCCACUCUAUUGCAUGGUUUUCCAAUAUAAAAUUAGAUUUUGGGACAAUAUUGACUUCACUAGAUUGGGACAACAGCGACCCAUGAUUGACAUGGAGCUAAUAUUUUGUAAAAGAUUUGUUAGCAGGAAUGGUAAAACCAAGACCAAUGAGCACGAAAGGUUCGUCAUAGAUAUGUUUAUGCCGGAUUCCGGUCAUUUAAUGCAUUAGGGUUGGUUAACACGCAAUAUCAUCUUCAUGUAUUAUCUACAAGUUUGGCACAAUUAAUGGGUAAGUCACAAUAUGUUUAUUUAGCUGAAUAAGAAUGACAGAAUGAUGGAGAGGAGAGAGAGAGAGAGAGAGAGAGAGGCGAGCCUUGGAUGGAAGGGAUGAUCGAUGUAUAAUCUCUUAGAUCUUUUACAUUGGUUUAUGCAAGUGUGAUACUUAUAUAUAGAAAUCAGAUAACUUGAGUUUAAGUCCAAUAUAUUGAUAUCACUCAUGAGUUUCAUAUAUCACUUUCAUAUAUCCACACACCUAUUUUACCUCCUCACCACCCUUAAUAUAUUAAACUCACGAGUUCAAUAUAUUGUCAUCACACUUAAAUUUUUUAGCCCACUAUAAAAAUGUAAUUCCUAUAUAAGUUUAAUAUACUGGUAGUCACUUUUUCCGACCUAGACAUUAGGGCAACAAUGGCCAUAGUUUUUAUAGCCUCAUAGGAACCCUAAACCCUGUAAUUACUAUAGUAGUAUUAUUCUUCGGGAUUUCUUGUUAGUAACUGCUAGUAUCAUUGGAGUAAUACAGUACAUGAUGUCUUUUUUUUUUUUUUUGGUAAACACAGUACUUGACGUCACAUAGCUCUCAUAGCAAACAUAAAUUUACACCGAGUCUUAAACUAUUUGGUAGAAAUUCCGUCCGUUUAUUGAUGAUAUAUACAUGGUUUAUUAUGCCCUUAUCAUUCUAACUGUUAUAUUUCAUUUGAAAUGUGAUAUGGAAGUAGUUUGAAGUUUGUUUUUGUUACUAAUUCACUCCUAAUAUGAAGCAAGAACUUGUAGAUCAUGUAGUUGAUUAAGAGUGUCAUUCAUGCACUCGAGGUCUUGCGUUGGAAUCUCAACUCUUCCAAUAUUCUUUUCGUUUUCGUUUGUUUGCAGAGGUUUUCAAUACACCAUUCAAAUUAUAACACAUAUAGUUCUUUUAAAGUGUGACACUGUGACUCAUCAACUCUUUCAUCCACCCAUAUUGUGAAAUGAUAAAUCAGGUAAAAAGUGUUGAUAUAUACCCGUAAAAGUUCUCCGUUUGGGUAUAUGGAGCUAUCCUAGUAUUCCGGCUCUAAAUAUAUAAAUUGAAUUAAAGGUCCAAGUUUGACAUAGAUGUUGGGGAUUUUCCAGAAAGAACUAAAGUUAGAAUGUAAAUUAAACUUUAGGUUUAUGAAAAGGAAAAUGCUAGGAUGAUCAUUGAUCAUCUUUUGUAAUCAUAUGAUGUGGUUGUUGUAAUAACAUGAUGUGGCUGUUGAUGAUUCAAAUGAGUCAUGUUUUAAAGAAGGAAAAAUUAGUAUCCGGUUCUUAGUUACUAAUGUUCAUUGAUUGAAACCUUAUUAGUUUUCAGAUUUUGAUCAAAGGCCCUAACAUUAAUGCAAUAAUGAAUUUAGAUGUUAGUUACAUAAUUUUUAAAAUAAAAAUUAAUAAUUGAUUUAGGAUUUUAAUACUCACACCUUUAUUAAACUCCUAACUAAUUUUCAAUUCAAAACAUUUCCCAAAAAAAAAAAAUUAGAAUAAGUUAUACCCCUUAAUAUAAAAGGUUUCCAAUUUUUUAAUCUUAUAUGUACCCAUUCAUGUAAUUUUUCAACUUUUUAAUCUUAAAAUGUACCCCUUUUUUUAUAUAAAAUCUAUUCAAUUUUUUUUCUAAUCCAUUUUUAAACUUAAAUGGGUAAUUCUUUUUCUUGAUUUGAGAAUGUAUCCGUGUCAAAUUUAAUCAAAGAAAUUUAGUAAUGUUAUUAAGCCUAUAUCUAUUUUUUUUGUGUGGUUUGAAGAAUGUCCCAUAUUUGGUACAAUAAUUUUAUUAUUAAUUUGAUGAAUGUACCCAUGUUUAUAUACAUACACACACAAUAUAUUUGAGAGUAUAAUUUAUAUUUUAAUAAUGUUAAUCCACAAAUUAUGGGUUUUAUUUAUUUAUUUAAAAUAUCAUUAAUACAAACAACUAUAAAUUUCAAUUUAAAAAAUAAAAAAUAUAAUUUGUAAAAGAAGAAAAAUUGAAAACCAGCAACUUUUAGAUCACAUCCAAAACUUUAAAGGAAACGCAAAAGUUACACACUAAAAAGCUAUUUUAAGAAGAGUAGGGGAAUUUGCAAGAUUAACACAGAACUAGAUGCAACUUUUCGUGGUUACAACCCUAACAAGUUUAAAUAUUAAUAAAAAUUGAAUAAAGGAUUAGACACUGGAGGAAAGGGAGCGAGAGCUCUUUUCUGUAGAUGCCAGAGAAAGACGAAAGGUUGCACCCCAUGACGUUCCCAAUUAUUUUUCAGGUAUCCGCAGCAUCUUCAAAAUCUUAUCUAAUCCAAAUUUAAGGAAAAGGAAAGUUCAAAAGAUAAAUCUCAAAUGUUAAUUUGGCAGGUGACGUAGCAAUGUUAAAUUUUCUUUUUUUUUAACCGAUAUGUUUUUAAUGUUAUAAAUGAUAUUUGUAGGACCAAUUUUAAAAAGAAAUCAAUUAAAAUAAAUUUUCAAGAUCUAUAAUUGAUACAUUAAUGAGUCCACACAACAUAAUAAUUAAAAAUUAUUUGACAUCACAUUUUCUCAUAUGUCAAAUUUGGCAUAUGAAAACUCACAUAAGAUUGACAUAUUAGUUGGAACUUGCUUAUACCUUCAAAUUUGAUUACAUGACAUUUCACUUAAGAUUUGACAUCUCAUUUGGAAAUACCUGUCUGUUAACACACCCAACUUACUUUGCCCCUUAUAAUUAACCGGUCGAAUCUACAUUAACGAAAUAUAUUCUCUACCCGUAUAAAAUGAAAUUAACUUGCAAAGUUAGCACGCCGGCCCUAUUUGCCUUUGCUUGACUAACUAACCGAACGCACAUAUAUGCACCCAUAUUGAGCAUCUAAAACUAGGCUCAUAAUCAAAAUGAAAACGGGAUGAAAUCAUAUUUUCGUUCAUUCGAUCGUUUGAGAAUCACAAUAUCAGUUCGCAGGUCCAAACCGAGUUAACAUUUCGAGUUGAAAUUAGCACCUAGCUGAGUAGCGAUCGCCACUAAACUCGCGGAAGUUGAAGAACACGAACAAAAAGUUAAACAAGAAACGAAGAUGAAGAAGAAAAACGAAGAAACAAUUAGUUAUGGGAGCAUAAAAUCAACAUAAAACAUGGAAGAAAAUUGCCCAAGAUGAUGAGAUCACACAAAAAUCAGCUCAACUCAAUAUACAAGCGGGCAAUCCCUCUUCACAUGAAAGAAAACAAGUAACUUUUUCUCACUGUUCGUUGGAAAAAUCGCAAUAGCUACCAAGACGCAGACAGUAAAAACUGUACAGUGUACUAUACAGGAAAGUAUGAGGCUUUACUCUUCGGUAAAUGCUUCGCAACGGUUCUUUCGUG
rnacentral:lncRNA from 1 species